rnacentral:lncRNA from 1 species
CAUCCAUCCAUCCAUCAUCCAUCCAUCCAUCAUCCAUCCAUCCAUCAUCCAUCCAUCCAUCAUCCAUCCAUCCAUCAUCCAUCCAUCCAUCAUCCAUCCAUCCAUCAUCCAUCCCUCCAUCCCACAGCUGGCUCAGGCACCCGUGGCUGGUGUCCCUGUCCCCUCCCGGUGCUCUCUCUGUCACAGAGGGACAAACCCCUCCCAGGUGUCCCUGAGAGCCUCUCCCGGUGCCCGGGGCAGCCGCAGCGCUCGGGGCCGGGGCUGCGCUGCCUUUUGUGGCGCUCGGGCCCCGGUGAUUGGGCGCUAUUUUGCUCCGGCUCCCUCCGGCAGCUGUUGCUGUUCUUUACCCGGGAGAGCCGGGGCCGCCCGGGGCUGCAGCCGAGGAGGAGGCGGCGGCCGACCCCAGAUGCCAAGGCUCUGGUGAGCAGCAACAGCCACGGGGAGAGCGUGGAGCCCAUGGAAUAGAGCAGUGUCCCUGUCCCACAGGGAACAGAGCAGUGUCCCUGUCCCACAGGGAACAGAGCAGUGUCCCUGUCCCACAGGGAACAG